rnacentral:rRNA from 1 species
AUGGCGUGGUUGAGUUGGGAUAAAAUGAGACUUUGUAAGUCCGGGGGUAUGAGAUUCUGUGACAUGCGAGAUUUUAACCAAGCACUUCUUACUAAGCAAGCUUGGAGAUUACUUGAAGCCCCUGGUAGUUUAUGUGCUCGCUUGUUGCGAGAGAAAUACUAUUCCAAUGAAAGUAUUCCUGAUACAGUUUUCAAUGGUAAUUCUUUGGCCGUGUGAAAAGGAAUUGAGCAUGGCUUGGAACUAGUGAAGAAAGGGAUUAUAUGGAGAGCUGGAGAUGGAUCACCGAUCAGGACUAGGAGGGAUCCAUUGAUUCCCCGAGGGCCGUCCUUCAGGCCGGUUACUCCUAAACUGACUAUCAUUAAUCGGGUCUCAGACUUUCUUGAUGGUAAUGGAGCUUGGGACAUGCAAUGUCUUAAUGAUCUUUUGUGGUAUGUGGAUGUCUACAACAUUAUCAAAAUCCACACGUCACCGAGAUAACGCUAAGACUUCUUCGCCUGGGCCGAGAAGAGCGGACAAUUCUCGAUGAAGAGUGCAUAUCGGCUAGCUACCGCCUCCCAUGAUGAACAGUUUGCAUGUGGAGCCUGAAGUUCACAUCCUGAUGGUGAUCAUACAAUCUGGAACCUCAUAGGACGUUCUAUAGUUCCACAUUAAAUAAAAAUCAUUACAUGGGAGGCGACAUCGAGAGCUUUGGCCACUUCGGUCUGCAAGCUACAUCAAAGCUUGGCCACUCAUGGGACGUGUCCCCUAUGCGGAAUUAAGGACUAG